rnacentral:rRNA from 1 species
AUACGGAGGGGGCUAGCGUUGUUCGGAAUUACUGGGCGUAAAGCGUACGUAGGCGGACUGAUCAGUUGGGGGUGAAAUCCCAGGGCUUAACCCUGGAACUGCCUUCAAUACUGUCAGUCUUGAGAUUGGAAGAGGUGAGUGGAAUUCCUAGUGUAGAGGUGAAAUUCAUAGAUAUUGGGAGGAACACCAGUGGCGAAGGCGGCUCACUGGUCCAAUACUGACGCUGAGGUACGAAAGCGUGGGGAGCAAACAGGAUUAGAAACCCUAGUAGUCC